CACGGAGGGGGCUAGCGUUUUUCGGAAUGACUGGGCGUAAAGCGCGCGUAGGCGGUUCGGUAAGUUGGAUGUGAAAGCCCGGGGCUCAACUCCGGAUGGGCGUUCAAGACUGCCGAACUUGAGACCGAGAGAGGAGAGUGGAAUUCCCAGUGUAGAGGUGAAAUUCGUAGAUAUUGGGAAGAACACCAGUGGCGAAGGCGGCUCUCUGGCUCGGUUCUGACGCUGAGGUGCGAAAGCGUGGGGAGCAAACAGG
rnacentral:rRNA from 1 species